AUCUUACUACAUGGGGUGACAAUAAAUAUCUUAAUUUCAAAUGGAGGUAAACCAAAGAAGUAGAAGAUUGUGGUCUGUACUUAAUCAAAGUUAUGGAGUUAUAUAAUGGUGACUGCGAUGAAACUCUAUCAGAAUUAAAUUCGAUAAUAUAUUAUUUUGAUUAUAUCUUUUAUUGUGUUGAUGAUGUCCUAUAUUGUUUUGAUUAUAUCUUUUAUAUUGUUGAUGAUGUCUUUUAUCGCAUAAAUCAUGCCCUCUAUUCUUUUUAUUAUAUCUUUUAUGCUGUUGAUGAUGUCUUAUAUCGCAUUAAUGAUGUCUUCUAUUCUUUUAAUUAUAUAUUUUUUUCUUUUUAUUAUUUCUUUUAUUCUAUUGAUGAUGUUCUUUAUCUCGUAAAAAAUUUCCUAUAUUAUAUUGAUGAUAUCUUGUAAAUGUUUAUAUGAUUUCCUCUUUUAUUGUCCAUAUUUUAUAAUUGUUUUGAUGAUUUCACUAGUGGAAAAAAGUCUAUUUGUAACGGCUUAAUUGUAACGGGCAUGUUGUUGCCCGUUACAAUAACAUCAUUCGUAACGGGCAAUAUUAAGGUCCGUUACAAAAAAAAUUCAAUCCGCGUAAAAAAUGAGUAUUUGUAACGGGCAAUUACCGACAGUUACAAAUACUAAGUUAUUCGUAAGGACAUUUGUAACUGACUUAAAAUGUCCGUUACGAUUAAAUGUUCAAAAUUAAUAACCCUAAAAAAUUUUCAAACCCUAAAAACUUUUCAAUCCCCUUUUUUCAUUUUCCCUCCCUCAUACUCGAUCUGUUCCCCAUUAUUGAAGCGCAAUCUCAUCUUCUUGCAAGCUCCUUCGCCGAUCCUCUGUUUCUCCGUCGCCGGGCCUCGUCUCUUCUCCCUUUCUCCUUGCAAGCUCCGGUGGUCGCCUCUUUUUUUUCAUCCCUUCUCCAUCCCUUUCUCCCUUGCGAGCUCCGGUCGUUUUCUCCUCGCAAUUUCCGCCGUUUGCUCCGGUGGUUUUCUCCGGUCGUUUUAAUUGAUUGGGACGGUCGUUUUCUCCGGUCUCCUUUGCAAGAUCUCUUCUCGAAACUCAAGAAUCCAGGAUUUUUGUCCAAGGACAACCCUGUAUGAUGUUGACGAGUUGAAUGUGGUUCGAGAACAGUGGGCGCAAUACUUUAGAAGUAAAUAUUUAUUGAAUGCAUAACUAUUAGCUUAGGUAGAACAAUGUAAUAUUUUUAGUGUUGUUGUAUAUGUUGGAUAAAUUUAUACAAGUUUUUAUUUGUAAUGUGUUACUACUUCAGUUUUUAUAUUACGUCGUAUUAAUUUUUAUGAAAGAUUGUUCGGUAUAA